rnacentral:rRNA from 1 species
AAAUUGAAGAGUUUGAUCAUGGCUCAGAUUGAACGCUGGCGGCAGGCCUAACACAUGCAAGUCGAGCGGUAGCACAGAGAGCUUGCUCUCGGGUGACGAGCGGCGGACGGGUGAGUAAUGUCUGGGAAACUGCCUGAUGGAGGGGGAUAACUACUGGAAACGGUAGCUAAUACCGCAUAACGUCGCAAGACCAAAGAGGGGGACCUUCGGGCCUCUUGCCAUCAGAUGUGCCCAGAUGGGAUUAGCUAGUAGGUGGGGUAACGGCUCACCUAGGCGACGAUCCCUAGCUGGUCUGAGAGGAUGACCAGCCACACUGGAACUGAGACACGGUCCAGACUCCUACGGGAGGCAGCAGUGGGGAAUAUUGCACAAUGGGCGCAAGCCUGAUGCAGCCAUGCCGCGUGUAUGAAGAAGGCCUUCGGGUUGUAAAGUACUUUCAGCGGGGAGGAAGGCGAUAAGGUUAAUAACCUUGUCGAUUGACGUUACCCGCAGAAGAAGCACCGGCUAACUCCGUGCCAGCAGCCGCGGUAAUACGGAGGGUGCAAGCGUUAAUCGGAAUUACUGGGCGUAAAGCGCACGCAGGCGGUCUGUCAAGUCGGAUGUGAAAUCCCCGGGCUCAACCUGGGAACUGCAUUCGAAACUGGCAGGCUAGAGUCUUGUAGAGGGGGGUAGAAUUCCAGGUGUAGCGGUGAAAUGCGUAGAGAUCUGGAGGAAUACCGGUGGCGAAGGCGGCCCCCUGGACAAAGACUGACGCUCAGGUGCGAAAGCGUGGGGAGCAAACAGGAUUAGAUACCCUGGUAGUCCACGCCGUAAACGAUGUCGACUUGGAGGUUGUGCCCUUGAGGCGUGGCUUCCGGAGCUAACGCGUUAAGUCGACCGCCUGGGGAGUACGGCCGCAAGGUUAAAACUCAAAUGAAUUGACGGGGGCCCGCACAAGCGGUGGAGCAUGUGGUUUAAUUCGAUGCAACGCGAAGAACCUUACCUACUCUUGACAUCCAGAGAACUUAGCAGAGAUGCUUUGGUGCCUUCGGGAACUCUGAGACAGGUGCUGCAUGGCUGUCGUCAGCUCGUGUUGUGAAAUGUUGGGUUAAGUCCCGCAACGAGCGCAACCCUUAUCCUUUGUUGCCAGCGGUCCGGCCGGGAACUCAAAGGAGACUGCCAGUGAUAAACUGGAGGAAGGUGGGGAUGACGUCAAGUCAUCAUGGCCCUUACGAGUAGGGCUACACACGUGCUACAAUGGCGCAUACAAAGAGAAGCGACCUCGCGAGAGCAAGCGGACCUCAUAAAGUGCGUCGUAGUCCGGAUUGGAGUCUGCAACUCGACUCCAUGAAGUCGGAAUCGCUAGUAAUCGUAGAUCAGAAUGCUACGGUGAAUACGUUCCCGGGCCUUGUACACACCGCCCGUCACACCAUGGGAGUGGGUUGCAAAAGAAGUAGGUAGCUUAACCUUCGGGAGGGCGCUUACCACUUUGUGAUUCAUGACUGGGGUGAAGUCGUAACAAGGUAACCGUAGGGGAACCUGCGGUUGGAUCACCUCCUUA